rfam:Helobdella robusta unplaced genomic scaffold HELROscaffold_106, whole genome shotgun sequence.
GCACAGGCCUAGUUAAGCGGUUACUUCGCACAAAAGAACUAACUGUCACAUGGUCUCCUUACUGCCUUUAACCGCUGACGCCAUCUUGUGCUUUU